CCCAAUUAAAUGCUUUCCUUUAUAAGAGUUACCCUGGUCACAGUGUCUCUUCAUAGCAAUAGAAACCAUAAGGCAACUGACAUACAGCAUAGCAAGAAGCAAGCAGAGACUGUGAGCCGACUUAAGGUUUGGUCUGUUAGGAAACACUUCUACAAAUGGGAACUUAUAUUUUCUAGUCUAACCUGCUUCUGAUACAUCUUCAGGUUCCAGGACCUCUUUGGGUUCCUUUGAAAUUUCAACUUCAACAGCAGUGUCCUCAGGAGUCUCAGAGACUUAAGAAAGAAAUCUAAGUUAGUGCUUGAAUUUUAAAAUGUUACUCUGUAUGAAAGUUUUGGCACAAGAUAAUUUCAAAACUUACUUUAGAUUAUAGAUGGUAUAUCCAGUUGAAAACAUAGAUUUUUUUUUAAAGGAUGGCCAAAAAAUAGAGUACAAGGCAGAAAAUGAAAAACUUAAAUAUACAAAAGGACAUCGGAGGACUGGAAUGGCCAUCUCCGGUGAAAAGAGGCUUGCUUUGCGGCACGAGGGCCUGGGCUUGAAUCCCUAGUACUUAGCUCUAAACCCGAGCUUGCCUGUGCAUGCUUGGAACCCUAGCACUGAGGAGCUGAGCUGGGCAACCUCAUGGGACAGACAGUCUAGCUAAAUGGUGACCAUCUGGCUCACCGGCUGACCCUGACUGGACGCAACGAGGAAGAGCAUGAUGGAGGGAGACACCCAAAGUCCUCCCUCCCCUCUCACACGCGCACGCUCAGGUACAGGUGCACCAACGCUCUAUGCACACGUAGCACAUGCGUGCACAGCCUCCCACCAAGACCUCCAGAAUAACAGUGAACACAUGGCACACACUAUCCUGGUGACUGCUAAGCGUUUUUAAAACCCCAUUGUUGUGGCAUCAGAUCUAGUGUCUGGCCGCUCUUUUCAUCUCUCACUAAACUAUCCUUGAGGAUACACUAAGAGUAUCAAGUGACAAGGAUGGCAGUGCAGGAGUGGGGAUGGGGGACCUGAAGAGAGUUCCAGCGAUUUCACCUUCAAAGGGACAGGCUGUGAAGCAUCCAUGAUACAGGACACCUUUCACACACAUAUCCAGCCCAUAUGAUGGUUUUAGACAUGCAGACAACUUACAUAUCUUCUCACCCCAAAGUCCCCAAGUCUGCUCCUAAUUUUAAGAUACACAUUUUAUGAAGAUUAUAUGUAUAUAUAUAUAUGAAUGUAUAUAGCACACAUACACAUAUACAAUCAUAUAAUACUAUCUUCUGAGUUAAUACUUUGGUACUCUUUCAAUAGGAUCUAUAAUAUUUAAACUUAUAUUAGAACAGAAAGUAAAAAAGGGAUAAACCCAAGAGUUUUGUGGGUAACAUGUCUAAUUAUAAAUUGCUCAAUUAAUGUAACACUGUAAAUCAUGACCGGUAGGAGAGCACUGAGGCUGCGAGAGAAUAAAGUUAGAGGGUUUUGAAAUGCCUAUUAAAUCUUUGGACUUGUGAGGGUUUCUGUGCUUUUAAAAGCCAGAACAAUUGCAAUAAGACUUGAAAAUCAUCUACGGCAUGGGGGCGGAGGAAAUGCAUCAUUUCUUUCACUAACUAACUGCACAGGACAACAAAGGGUGAAGGGCAUCCAGGAGAGAUCAGCGGACAGAGUCGGGCACUAAAGCCCAGGAGUUGCUGUCAAGAUGCAGGGAGUUCUCUGGGUGAUCUGUAAUUGAACUGGAGGCUAGAAGAGGGUGUUGGGUCCCCUGGAACUGGAAUUAUGAGAAGUUGCGAGCUGCAGUGUGGGUGUUUAGGAACUGAACCCGGAUCCUCUGACGGAACAGCAAGGGCUUAACUGCCGACUCAUCUCUUUAGCGUCAGCGCUUUCGAUGUAAACUUUUUAUUAAGGUUCUUAAAAUUAAGGAACUGGAGUUUGGACAGUUUUAAGAUCACAAAAGUCCUGAAAACCCCUAGAAAAAUCAGAUAGUGAAAAAGUUUAAAUCAAGUUGUGAAGAAGGCUUCAGAGCUCACCACCAGUCCAGGGACAGACGCUUGUGGUAGACAAGGGACCUACUUUACAAGGCAGAAGACUGUAAGAGAAGGUGGGAGAGAGGGGAGAAGACAAAGGUUCUCUCUUGUCCUUCCCUCCCCAGUUUGGGUAGGGCUUUGAGUUGAAUAAAAAAACUCUCAAACUAGAGAGUAAUUUAGUCCUCAGGAGUAUCUCACAUCUGGCUCUGCAGUGCAGCAGCAAAAAUGUCUUAAUAUACAGUAGAUAAAAAUAUUACUCAAAGAAAAGAUAAAAAUUCUUGCAAACUCUACUCUCUCCCACUCCUGUUCUAAAGUUAACCCAUCCCUUGUGCUGUUAAUUCUUGACUGUAUGUAAGAUUGGAAGUCUAGAUCCCAAAGGACUGAAAUUGAAUAUUCAGCACAAAAUAAAAACAGUAAUUUGAGGUUUGGGGCACAUACUUGAGGUUAAAAUAAAUAUCUGUAAGUAUUGCCUUGGUCAUGGUGUCUUUUCAUGGCAAUCGAACAGAGACUAAACAGACACAGCCACACUCGUGACAGCACAGGCAGAAAGACGGCACACCUUUCCAAAGCUGCCAGGUGCUCAACAGCAGGAGGGAACGUAAGAUAGAUUUGGGUUCAUAUGUAUGUGCACAUGUAUAUAUGCAGAAGAGUAGGACACAGAGGUGUCUGAAGCAGAGCUGACUGGCAGAACACGUUUAGUUCAGAGGUUAUCAUACAAAGAGCAGAGUGGGCAUCAGAAAAGUCCUGGGAAGAAGUGACCCUUCAGUGUGAUUGAUAAACUGAUGAGAGCUACAGUGACUGUAGAAAACUCUUAAUGCUCAGAGCCAAAUUGUCUGGGCCAAUCUUUAGACAGCAGAAGGUUCAGUUCCUCAUGGGACUGUUGUUCACAGACUGAGCUCCAGAAGCCUCUGACCUCCACAAGCCAGAGUGUGUAGAUGCACACACACACACACACACACACACACACACACACACACACACACACGGACACAGCCAUCAGUCAAGUGUAACCUGGUUCAGGCUCAUGCUCAGCUUCCGGGACCUCAGCUUCAGACUCCUCGGGUAACAGCGACCCUCGGGCUUCCUCUUGCAUUUCAGGUGCCUCAGACUCUUCAUGGGCCUCAAAGUCUUCCCCUUCAACCUCCUCCUCAGCUUCGUUAUCACCCUCUUCAACAUCUACAGAGAAUAACAUGGAGUAAAUUGUUGUUCAGUCAAAGCCAACAGAUGCUAGAGGAGAAGAUGAGGGAGUGAUACCCCGCCCUGCUCUGGUGUAAUGGUGGAGAGAGAUGAACCACCACUGCAUUACAUCGAUUAGUGUGGCGUGGUGGAAACUGACAGCCACUCUAUCAGGGUGCUAUUGGAGAGCCAGAGGAAGGGCUCAUUCAGAAGAAGAAAAAUGUAUAGCCAUUCCAAAUACUUUAACAGUAAGAGACUAGAAAAAGCCCAAUAUCCAUUUAGUAAGGAAAGAGUGAGGCCCAUUCUACCUACUAUGGCAGCCACUGUGUAUGGCUACUGAGCACUUGAAGCUAGUCUAAACUGGGAUAUAUGAGAGGACAAAAUAGAUUAUGAUUCCAAAUAUUUAGUAUGAAAAACUUAAAAUGUGUAGCUGCUAGAAAAUUUAAAGGUAGUUUACACAUAAACUUACAUUAACUUUCCAAUAGGCAGCACCAGACUAGACUCCCUAGAUAGAUCCAUACGUAGCACAGAUGUAAUAAGAGAUUUACUAUAACUCAUUGUAAUAAUAUAAUAUAGUAUAUUAACUUAUAUGUCAACUGUCAAUAUAGAAAGUGUGACUCCAAGCUCAUUGUGUUUGUUGAUGAGCUUGGUAGGCAUGGAAGUUCUUCAGAAGGGCCGUGGCAGCUGCCAGGGAGCUCAUCCUCCCUAUCUCUCUCAUGUCGUGAUGGAAUUGACACAGCAUGUGUGAGAAGAUGGAGACAGAGCACUUCCUGUGAAAGGCUGAUACGGCCGGGUUAGCGAGAUCACUUCUCUGAGUUCCCACGGCCUCCCCCACCCACCACUUUCUCCCAAGGGUCACGUUCUGACGGAGAGUCUCCGGCACCUGGAUUUGAUCUAAAUCAAGGUUUGAAACAGGACGGCAGCACAUGAGGCUUCCCAGAACAUAGCUUGGAAUAUGGUUUGUUCUAGGCAGGACUGAACUACACCUCCCGUUCCAGUAACGAUGCCACUUAGAAAGUCUUUGAGUAUGGAAGCUUCAGCACACAGUGGGAAUUUGGAUUCCAUGAAGGUUGAAGCACUUAAACUUUCCUAACAGUGGUGAAAAUAGAUAAAUGGAAAGUUAGCAAAAUGUGGGGAGCAAGGCCUGGUCUAUUAAAUAGUAAAGAGAUAUGUAUCUUGGCUUGAAAUCCCGUGCCUAGGAAUUUAGAAAUAGGCAUACCACUGCACAGCAAAGCACAUAAAAACUUGGUUGCAUUAUGGAGAACAACAACAACAACAACAACAACAACAAACAACACCAAGUGUUCGCCGGCAGGAAAGCAAGCAAGGCGGGCUCAGUGUCCACAGCAGCUCCUGGAGCCACUGCCCUCCAAAGAACUAUGUGGCAUGACUUUGCGUCUGUUUUUCCUUCUUUGAAAGCUAGUGAUGAUUCUCUUUGGGAGACACUACCACCAUAUUUCUGGCUUAGGUUCUCCUGCUGUGUCCUGUGUUCCACCCAGGAGUGUUGGUGUUAUUGGGACUCUCCCUGUUCAUGGCCCAGGCCAGGCAGACUGCUGAGUCUUCUUGACCCAUCUCCUUCACAUUCUGUUUUGACGUCUGUGUCAGGAGGCCCAGGAAGGCUGCUUAUGAGAACUUCCUUUUCUAAAACCUGAUAAAGUAUUCCGCUGGGAAGUCCCAGGCCUGCUCAGGCUGGGAAAGAACCUCUGAAGCAUUUGAAAUAAUGAUGGCAGGUGGCCUUGUCAUUCAGCUGGAUUGUGUGCAGACGGAUGCCAGGAAACCCAGAGUUCAGCACGUUUUUAGAUGUUUGACCUGUGAUGCAAGUCUUAACCCAGCUAUGCUUGUCUCUGUUUAGAUAACCUGUAGAGCCCUUGAAUGCAUCUGGGAGGCAUUUUUUUCUUACUCUUUAAGGUUUUAUUUUCUCUAGAAUAUAGAAGAAACUUUCUGUGAAAUGCCUAUUGCUGAGUUUAGAAAUCAGCAUGUAGAACUCUUGAGACGCGCACACGGGUUUUGGCAUUAAGAAGCUCACGAACAUGUGGGAAUGCCAAACCACAUGAAUAGAAAUUGAUUGCAGAACUAGAAAAUUCCAGAUAGUAAAAAAGAGAAAGGGGAAAAAGCACUGUUGGGAGACAUUGGGGGACAUAACUGUUCUGAAAAAUGACAUAGGUGUAUUUUUUGUGUGUUUAAAAUGAGCAUGUUACCAACUGAUAAACAACAUGAACCUGGCUGUCAUUUUACACUAGGAGUUCAUCCGUUCUUUGCAGUACCAUCCAUGGGUAGAGAACACUCUUCCAGGAAGGCAUGUGUUAUUAAAUAAAAUUCCAGUACCAGGGAUGGGAGACCUCUCUAUGAGUUAUUAGUCAGGGAGGACCCAAACGGCACAAGCUGUUGCUAUUCCUUUUGGUUGCCCACCAUAACUAGACGGUCAGACCCCAUUGCUGAAGAGACCACACGCUUUGGUCACAGGCCAGGGAGAGAUUAUGUUGGAAGUGAAAUAGAAGCUUCCUUGCUACUAGCUAGCUUCCAUCACCCAGAAGGUGCUAUGCAGGCAGCUGGGGGAGAAAGUUACCAAUAGUGUUACCGAGCCAUGAACCCUUUGAGCUUCAAUAAUGAUCUUAGGAAGGAUGUACCCUCUGGUACAGCAGGGGCGAGACUUUCUGAUUUCUGCAUCUGACUGGAUCUGAGGCACAUGAGGGAGCUCAUGCUGGCUCUUUAAAGCUGGUCAAGAGCCUGUGACUGGGAAGGUCAUAGGCACUACCCAAGAACAUACUAGAUUGUGUGAGUAAAUGGUCAUGUAAAUGAGUGCCGUAUUCAGCCUUCAUCAGAGAAGCCUGCUUUAUUUUAUUUUUAUUUGCACGUAUGUUUGUUCGUAUGUAUGUAUAUGUGUGUAUUGAUGUGUUUUACUUGUGAAGACUAGAAGAGGGUGUCAGGCUCCCUAGAGUCGUAGAAGCAGGCAAUUGUAAGCUACCUGAAAUGGGUGAUGGGAACCAAACUCAGGUCUUCUACAAGAGCAGCAGGUAUUUCUAACUACUGGGCCACCUCUCCAGCCCCAGAGAAUCUUCAGUACAGUGGGAAGCCGUUACUCUAAGAUACCACAGCAGGCCAAGUGCCAGAGUAAGUGCGAGUGGAGGCCUCAGCCCUUAAAGGGAGACCUAUGCCACACUAGCUAAGACUCAAGGAACAUCACAGAAGAGGGUGGGAAAGAUGGAGGUGCCACACGACUGGAGAGAUGGACAGCACAGGGGAGUCUUCUGGACAUCACGUGGCUGUCGCCCUCCUGAGUUCAGCUGUGGAGAUCUGCACCAGCCUGCAUAAAACUGCGCCUAUCAAUAUUUUGUCAUUUAUGGGUAGCUGAGGCCUGAGCCCUCCCCCGAGGGACUCCUGGCAGCUAAUGAUUGCUGGGAGAAAGUCUGCCUUUUUUUCCCCCCAUGGUGAAGCCAGUGAUAAGGUGCCCAUGCCCCAGUAAAAAGUGAGUAGCAUCCAGCCCGUGCUCAGGCGAGAAACCAAUUAGAGUCAAUGGCUCACACACAUAAAGGACAGGGAAGUAGCCUGGGGACUCUAUGGGAAGAGGGUUUCCCUCAGCAGAGGGAGAAGGAUGAGAUGGACCAAGUGACUAAAAUUCCUUAUGUACAGAGUAAAGCUAUCAAAGAAUAAAAAAAUGAAAAGAAGGAUUUCAUCUCUUCUUAAACACUUAGCUCUUUUGCAUACACUGGAAAAUUUAUGUAGUUCCUUACACUUAGCAGAUUA